UUUUUCUUCAAAAAUUCGCUCUGAACUUCUGCGCACAUAUAUGGUUCGGCCACCGUGACCCGCCCCUCCCCUUCCUUACUCUCACUUGGCAUUCUGUUAGAUCCUUCGACGAGUACAUACCAAUGGAUUGGCAAGGGCAAAAGCUUGCGGAGCACUUGAUGCAGAUAAUGCUGCUGGUAUUUGCAGCGGUGGCGUUCGCGACAGGCUAUACGAUCGGAUCAUUCAGGACGAUGAUCCUCGUCUACGCCGGUGUCGUGGUUUUCACCGCAUUGGUUACUGUUCCGAAUUGGCGUUUCUUCAAUCGCCACCCUCUCAAGUGGCUGGACCCUAGCGAAGCCGAGAAGCAUCCUAAGCCCCAAAAACCUGUGAAUCCAAAUCCAAAGAAGAAAUCCACCAAGUAGUCAUCAAGCUAGUGAGUUUAAAUUAAUUGCUUUGUUCUUAGAAUUAACAAUAAGAACCCUUUAGGGUUUGCUUCAACUUUUAAUUUGGAUGUAAUGUACUGCAUAAUUAGCUAAAAUGAGACCAUCCAUGGAUAUUUCCUGACUCAUGAACUUGUGUGUUUGUACCCAUCUUAAAAUUUUUUAUAGCUUUUUAGUU